UUUUAGGUGCUUGCACUUGAAAGAUUUAACAUUGAGACGAGUGGCGAACUGGUGAGUAACACGUGGGUAACCUGCCCUUGAAGUAGGGGAUAACACUUGGAAACAGGUGCUAAUACCGUAUAACAACCAAAACCACCUGGUUUUGGUUUAAAAGACGGCUUCGGCUGUCACUUUAGGAUGGACCCGCGGCGUAUUAGCUUGUUGGUAAGGUAACGGCUUACCAAGGCGAUGAUACGUAGCCGACCUGAGAGGGUAAUCGGCCACAUUGGGACUGAGACACGGCCCAAACUCCUACGGGAGGCAGCAGUAGGGAAUCUUCCACAAUGGACGAAAGUCUGAUGGAGCAACGCCGCGUGAGUGAUGAAGGGUUUCGGCUCGUAAAACUCUGUUGUUGGAGAAGAACAGGUGUCAGAGUAACUGUUGACAUCUUGACGGUAUCCAACCAGAAAGCCACGGCUAACUACGUGCCAGCAGCCGCGGUAAUACGUAGGUGGCAAGCGUUGUCCGGAUUUAUUGGGCGUAAAGCGAGCGCAGGCGGUUUUUUAGGUCUGAUGUGAAAGCCUUCGGCUUAACCGGAGAAGUGCAUCGGAAACCGGGAGACUUGAGUGCAGAAGAGGACAGUGGAACUCCAUGUGUAGCGGUGAAAUGCGUAGAUAUAUGGAAGAACACCAGUGGCGAAGGCGGCUGUCUGGUCUGUAACUGACGCUGAGGCUCGAAAGCAUGGGUAGCGAACAGGAUUAGAUACCCUGGUAGUCCAUGCCGUAAACGAUGAGUGCUAAGUGUUGGAGGGUUUCCGCCCUUCAGUGCUGCAGCUAACGCAUUAAGCACUCCGCCUGGGGAGUACGACCGCAAGGUUGAAACUCAAAGGAAUUGACGGGGGCCCGCACAAGCGGUGGAGCAUGUGGUUUAAUUCGAUGCUACGCGAAGAACCUUACCAGGUCUUGACAUCUUCUGCCAACCUAAGAGAUUAGGCGUUCCCUUCGGGGACAGAAUGACAGGUGGGUGCAUGGUUGUCGUCAGCUCGUGUCGUGAAAAUGUUUGGGUUAAGUCCCGCAACGAGCGCAACCCUUAUUGUUAGUUGCCAGCAUUCAGUUGGGCACUCUAGCAAGACUGCCGGUGACAACCCGAAGGAAAGGGUGGGGGUAAACGUCAAAUCAUCAUGGCCCCUUAUAACCUGGGGUACCACCUGCUUCAAUGGAAGGGGACAACAAGUCCCGAAACCCCCAGGGCACCUAAUUCCUUAAAACCG
rnacentral:rRNA from 1 species